rnacentral:rRNA from 1 species
UCAAUACAUGUCAAGUCCGAGCGAAUGAUGAAGAAGCUUGCUUCUUUCUUGAUUUAGCGGCGGACGGGUGAGUAACAUCGUGGGCAACCUGCCCUGUAGAUUGGGAUCAACUCCCGGGAAAUCCGGGGCUAAUACCGAAUCAAUCCCAUUUCCUUCCACAUGAAGAGAUGUUCAAAAGACGGUUUCCGGCUGUCCAUCUACAGGAUGGGUCCCGUCGGUCGCAUUAGUCUCAGUUGGUGGGGUCAAUGGCUCCAUCUCAAGGUCGAUCGAUGUCGUAGCCGAUCCUGAGAGGGUGAUCCGGCCACACUGGGACUGAGACACGCGCCCAGACUCCCUACGGGAGGCAGCAGUAGGGAAUCUUCCCACAAUGGACGAAAGUCCUGAUGGAGCAAUGCCGUCGUGAGUGAAGAAGGUUUUCCGGAUCGUCAAAACUCCUGUUGUGAGGGCCAGCAAUCAAGUAUCGAGAGUAACUGCUCGUACUUGACGGUACCUCAUUAGAAAGC